UGUCACGGGGCAGCACUACACCCCAGAUGAGAUAGACUUUUUCCAAAACGGCGAAAAAGUGACGUCGGAAAAACGAAGGGGUGUAAAAUUGUUAAAAAAUUUAUCAAUUGUUCAUAGGACGUUUUCUAGUAUUUUGAGCAUAGAUAAAGCAACCAUGGAAGAUAGUGGUGUGUAUGUUUGUAGGUCGUCCAAUAUGCAAAUUGCUCAUACAAAAGUCCACGUUUUAAACGCGGAGACGUCCAAUAAAAAGCGAGGGACAUAUCAUGGCGGGUAUACUGACGAACACGUAUCAAAUGGGCAGCUGAAGUCAUUUACGUUAAUUAUAAGGCAGCCGAUAUUCGAGUGUAUUUGCUUGUGUAAUUUGCUGAUGUUCAAACAUUUCUACACAUGAAAUGAAGAUAAAAUAACCCCAGACAGAGAAAUAGUUGGAUCAGCAAGGCAUUAAACACGAUUGCCAGCUUACAGCUUUUAUUUCGGUCUUGGCUUUGACGUUUUCAACACAACCCGUGGAAUAAAAACAAGCAAAUGUGCCACGUGCUAAACGAAAUGCAUACUACACCAGGGAAUACAACACAUUUCCAAUGACACGUUCACAACUCUGAAUUUCUUCCCGAUGGUGCUGAAGAUAGUUCGUUAUCAAAAUAUAGCCUAUGAAUCGUACCCGAAUUCAGCUAUCGAUAGUAUACAAACAUGUCAGUCAUUGAAAUGUGUGUUUACUCCGAAACGUUUUCAAAAACGAAUUUGCGUCGGCUAAUUUCAUAAACAAUAAAUGGUGUUCUACAUUUAUUCCUGCAAUACAGUUAGUUGUAUGGCUUAUAUUGAGCCUAUAAUAAUUAUGUAUACUUUAUGGUCUUAUAAAAUAAGCUGUAUAUUCAUGAAACAAGGAUUUACUAUUUCUUCUUAUGGCAUCGAGGCAAGCAAAAGUAUCUUGCUAUCACGUUUCAUGGCGGCCACAAGGAUCGACAGAUGCUUUUGUAAUACAAGUUCGUUUAUGUCUGGACAAAUCUUAUUGCAUAAUUGACCCGUUUUAUAGAGAUAUAUAAAACUUAUUUAUCGAUUGU